UGAUCUGCCCACCUUGGCCUCCAAAAGUAUUGGGAUUACAGGUGUGAGCCACCGUGCCCAGCCAGCUUUAUGUUUAAAAAAGGAGUUAUUGUGUUUUAUAAACAUGAGCAAGAUAACAGAUAGAAUGCUUUCUUUACUUUCUUGCCAAAUUCAUUCCUGUCCAGGACCUACCUCAACAGUCCUAUUGCCUUUUGCUCUCUCCUUGUUCACUGUGCUUUCUUUACAUUCUUGCCAAAUUCAUUCCAGGGACUCAGAGGUUUAAAGUCUAGAUUCAUAUAGCUUGUAAAUGGUAGAGCUGGGAUUCCAGAUUUUCUUUAAAAUGCUACAGUUGGGGAGAAGGUAACAGAUAAAACAGGAUUGAUCAUGAAUUGGGAGUUCAGGAUACUAUUCUCUUGUCAUAUAUGAUUUGCAGGCUUCCAUAAUAAAAAGUUUAAAAACAAACAAAUAUAAUGAGAACCCUCCCAAUAGGUCGGGAAGUAAUUAGAAAUUAUUUAAUCAAUGGUGCAUAUUUUGUGAUAUGCAAAAGUCCCCAGCUGCUUUCUUUCUCAAGACUGUGAUCCAUGUUCGGCAAAGUGCACGUUCCAGUUGUGAUCACAGUACUGUCAUUUGCCUCUGGGCCUGUGAUUCUCAAUCCUGGCUACAAAGUGGCUUUGUUCAAGAGUCCUAGGAACUUGACUCUGCUUGUGGGUGUGUAGCUACAGAACUAACACUAUCAGAUUCUUAGCCUUUAUCCCCCUUGCCUGUAUUCCAUUUUCUGUAGAGGUUGUUGGCUUCCAUCAGGGGUGGUCAUUUCCAAUCAGACACCUAAGAACUCCUGCUAAUGGGCAAUGAUGGAGGCACAUUCUAGAUGGAGGCACAUUCUAGAAACGCUUGAAACUGUGUGUUGCUUUGGACAGCUGUUUCAGGUACGUGCUGGAGUGGGAAUGGGAUCAACCUCUCAACAUUUUUCUUGUAUGGUGAUGUGUUGUUAAUGUAAUAGCUUUGAUUUUAAAACUACCCUUAUUUCCAUACUUUCAAAUCCAACAAAUUAGGUAAUUUGCAGUUGGUUUCCUAUUCAUUGAUGCCUGUUAUUAAGGCCUAUGGUUUUCUUUCUUUAGUUAAAUAAAGUGUAUCAAGAUUAUAAAUUUAUUCUAAACAUUUGAGAAUUCAAAAUCAUGCAGCAUGACAAACUUCUUUCAUUUUACUUCUCCUCAGGUAGUAAAGAUAUAUUUUUGAAGUGACAAACACACAUUAAAAAAAACUGAAGGAGUCUAUUGUACAUGUGUUUGUUAGUAUUGUUGCAGAUUUCAUUAGAAUUCUUUCACAUCAGUCAUUUAAUGGAGUCUCAGCAUGUAGAAAGAGUGGAUGAAAGACCAUGAUUACUUAUUUACAUUUUCAAAAAUUUGUUUUCUUUAGGUGUUUUUUCCUGUUUCCACUUUAUGUUGAGUAUUAUUUACAUACAGUAUACGCAGCAUCAUAAGUUUAUGAAUGCCGGGUUUAAUGAAUCACCUAGCACAGACCGUAUAUUUAAGUAGAACACACUUACAAAUGCCUGAUAUAGAGAGCAAUGAUGUUAAUAAAUGGUUGCCACUUCCAAACUUUGGGUACCCUGCACAGAUUUCAGAACCAUGCACAGGAGAGUUAGGGUUAAUGGUUGAUAAAACUGUAAUUCAGGGAAUGUUCCUACCCACACAACCUCGCUCCUCUGCUUACAGCAUGUAUUGGUCUUCACAUCAUUCCUCGACUAUCAUCCAAACCCUUUAGGAUGGACCUUUAUAACCUGUCCAGGACCUACCUCAGCAGUCCUAUUGCCUUUUGCUGCCUCCUUGUUCGUUGUGCUUUCUUUACAUUCUUGCCAAGUUCAUUCCAGGGACUCAGAGGGUUUAAAGUCUAGGUUAAUAUAGCUUGUAAAUGGUAGUGCUGGGAUUCCAGACUAGAUUUGUUUGAUAUCUUUCAAUUUGUCUAAUUUAAAAUAAAAUAUAUUAUUUCUCUUCGGGAAAAUGGAGGAAGGAAGGCUUUACUUUCUGUAGAACAUUUAUAUAGGGGAAGAAUAAUAAUUUUUUUCUCCAACAUUCUUAGACUUAGUUGAAAUGGAUCCCUGUAAUGAAAGACUGAUUAAAAAAAUAAAAACAAACAGAAGUUCAUUAACAUGUAUAUUUCUCAUAUACAUGGGAGACACCCAGGGAGUGAGUAAUUCUCAACAAGAUAGCUUGUUCUGAAAAUAUUCCAAGGCUGAUGUUUCCUUUAAAUUAGUCUAGAGAUUGAAAUGUUAAGCACAUUGUCUCUGGAUUGAAUGUAGUCAUUAGAUGUGUUUAGUUUGAUUGCUAGUGUAAAAAAUGUUGAAUUUGAAUGUCUUUAGAGAAGACUCAUACUCUAGUUCUGCCACAAACCCUACCAUUUUCUAUUCUUUUAACAGCAGACAUUCAUUUAUAUAUUUGAGUGACCCCUGACGGCCUUUCAGAUUUGAUCUUUGCUUGAGCAUUGAGGAUGAACUGGCUGUCUAAAUGACAAAAUGAUACUCAUGUUUUGAUUAGUAGUUGUACCUUAACUUUAAAAAUUGAAAUUCAAUUGGAUUUCACCACUAGCUGUGAAGACGAGCUACGUAUCUUCUGAAACAUUGCAGCGUUAUAAGAGAAAUUAUAGACUAUUUGUUGAAGCUCAGCAUGUCCAUCUCCCUGCUUUGAAGAAGGCAAGCUUCAUUAAAACCAACAUCUUACUUGGCCUAAAACAUCUUUGGAGUAGGAGAUUUAUGGCCUUUCUGGGAAAGUAGUUCUAAUUUUUAUAAACCUUAGAAUUAAGAAGUUCUUUUGUAAAUACAAUUAUAAUUCUUUCUUCUCGA